rnacentral:rRNA from 1 species
CAGUAGCCACGGGAAUACGAAGGGUGCAAGCGUUACUCGGAAUUACUGGGCGUAAAGCGUGCGUAGGUGGUGGUUUAAGUCCGUUGUGAAAGCCCUGGGCUCAACCUGGGAAUUGCAGUGGAUACUGGAUCACUAGAGUGUGGUAGAGGAUAGUGGAAUUUCCGGUGUAGCAGUGAAAUGCGUAGAGAUCGGAAGGAACAUCUGUGGCGAAGGCGACUAUCUGGGCCAACACUGACACUGAGGCACGAAAGCGUGGGGAGCAAACAGGAUUAGAUACCCCUGUAGUCCCUGUCUCUUAUAA